rnacentral:rRNA from 1 species
GGCGAACGCUGGCGGCGUGCUUAACACAUGCAAGUCGAACGGACCGGUCCGUUUGAGUGUACUCGAGUUGAGAAACGGUGAGUAACAUGCGUGUAACCUGCGCAUGACUCCGGGAAAAUUUCAGUAAUCCGGAGCUAAUACUGCAUGGGAAAGAUUGCUGCCUUUUGGGGCGUGGCGAGCUUCGGUGGUUUGGUAUGGACUCGCGGCUUAUCCGCUGGUUGGUGGGGUUGUGGCUUCCCAAGGCUUUGACGGGCAGCUUGCCUGAGAGGGAGACCUGCCACAUUGGGACUGAGAUACGGCCCAGACUCCUACGGGAGGCAGCAGUGGGGAAUAUUGCACAAUGGGCUGAAGCCUGAUGCAGCAACGCCGCGUGCGGGAUGACGGCCUUCGGGUUGUAAACCGCUUUCAGCAGGGGCGAAGCUUUUGUGACGGUACCUGCAGAAGAAGCACCGGCUAACUACGUG